GUUUGAUCCUGGCUCAGGAUGAACGCUAGCGGCAGGCUUAACACAUGCAAGUCGAGGGGUAUGCUUCUUCGGAAGUAGAGACCGGCGCACGGGUGCGUAACGCGUAUGCAAUCUACCUUUUACAGAGGGAUAGCCCAGAGAAAUUUGGAUUAAUACCUCAUAGUAUUAUUAAAUGGCAUCAUUUAAUAAUUAAAGUCACAACGGUAAAAGAUGAGCAUGCGUCCCAUUAGCUAGUUGGUAAGGUAACGGCUUACCAAGGCUACGAUGGGUAGGGGUCCUGAGAGGGAGAUCCCCCACACUGGUACUGAGACACGGACCAGACUCCUACGGGAGGCAGCAGUGAGGAAUAUUGGACAAUGGGCGCAAGCCUGAUCCAGCCAUGCCGCGUGCAGGAUGACGGUCCUAUGGAUUGUAAACUGCUUUUAUACAGGAAGAAACCCUGGUUCGUGAACCAGCUUGACGGUACUGUAAGAAUAAGGAUCGG
rnacentral:rRNA from 1 species